AGCUGAAUGUCAUUUCUUUUCUCUCUACUUCAGCUCCCUCACAGCACAGGCGGCUGCUACUCCUGAAGCUUCCCCACAUUCAUGUAAUAAAUAAAUAAUCACACCUUUUCUGCUGUCAAAGCUGAAAGCAUGCACAGCUGUGUGCCACAAGAUACACUGGGACUGCAAGCUGAGUCCUGGCUCUGAAGAGGGUCCUGCCUCCCUCCCAGACACGAAGAUCUGAGUGCACACAUGGUUAAGCUGGGUAAAACAGCUCCAGGGAGCCAUGGCUGUCCCAGGCCAGGUGAUGGAGACUGCAUCAGAGCAAAGGAGGGCUGUGCCUCUUCUUGGACUGUCUUGGACAGAAGGGAUGAGAGUUGCCACAUGUACCUUUCUCUGCUGGAAAUUGGUCUUCCAAGUGGUGAAAUCUGCAGAAAUUCCUGUUUAUCCCCAGAGCAUCCUCUCUGACCUGGGAGAUGGGAGAGAAGUGCCUGGAGGAGGAGGGAGAUUGUGUCCCUUGGAGACAGGAGGCUCAGGAAAGGACAGCAAAUCCUGAAACUCGUGCAGCAGCCCCUUCUCCAGCUCCUUUCUCUUCUCUGGACACGCUCCAGCCCCUCAAUGUCCUUCCUGCUGGGGUCCCAAACAACCCAGGAUGUGAAGAGUGGUCUCACAGUGUGUCUGUCACUGCCCUGGUCCUGUGUCACCUUCCUGGGCACUGAUCCAGCUCUGACCCUGGUCCUGAGCUGUCCUGGUGUGUCCUGUGUCCCUUCCAGCUCCCUGCUGCCCUGGGCCCCUCUGCACCUUUCCUUGUGCGUGCUUAUUUUAACUAUGCUGUGGUCAAAGCACUAAAAAACAUUGAAUAAAAAGAGUUAUUUGGUUUCUCCAUCAAUAAUUUCCUUCCUCCUCGUGCUGUGCCCUUCAGCUGCUGUUGAGACUUUCACCCACGUCACAGAUUCUACUAAAUCCUGUCUUCUCAAGCUUAGCUAAUGACAAAUGCUCUAUGGAAAUCUGGAUGAAACCUGCUGCAUCUCAUUUGCCUGGAAAAUCUUUCAAGGAAAGACAGCAGGUUGGGGGGGUGUGGAAUGUUGUGCUUGUGAUAAAUAGUGAACUUAAUGAAGAUUGCUGAUGGACAGCAUUGUGUGCUGGGGCCUUUUGUUUCCCCCAGUAUAAGAUGGAUGGUGGUAUCCAGGAUUUCCUCGGUGUUUCUGCCUUGUAGGAUUGUCCACCCUGUCGUUCAGCCCUCUGCUCCCGAGCAGGAGCUGCCAAUUUGUGCCAGUAGCAAUUUCCCACCUCCCCCAUUCCUCCUUUGAGGGAGUUGAUCUUGAGAUAUUUUUUUUAAUAUAUUAGUUUAUAAUUAAAGGAUAUUGUAUUAAGAG